AAGCACCUUGUAGUGUAAGCUACACCAUUAAUCUUAAAUAUUACUCUUUUAUAUAAGCAAACAAGCGGAGGACCAUCACAGUAAAAUUGAGUUGUACUAUAUGCUUAUUGGAGGAAUCAAGGAUAAUUUUGUUAUAGUGCCAUUUUAUGGCAUUCUUACAAUGAAACACGUGUUUUAAAAGCUUCCUGCAGAACAAAAAAAGAGUAAAACUCAAUUUUUUAUUACCAUUUGCACACCAAACACUGAGCUAAAUACUCUGUUUAGUAGGUAGAUAACCAAUCAUAUGUAAAUUUUCCAAGUGAUAAAUUCACCUCAAGAACACUGACGACUGUUCUGCAAUUAGGUUACUGCUGCACACCGACGAUUGGGUUCAAUCUUACUUCACUUAUUUUCUUUUUGGAACAACAAUUUUAUCGUAGCUGGGUCAAUAUUUUGAUGCUUUAUCAGUACUUUCGCUAAGUUCACUUCAAAUUAAUGAUUAUGCAUCUCUAUUUUGAAUUUUUUUGGAUGCCUAAUCGGAAUAUUGAACAUGCAUGUUCUUUUUUCAAUAAUGGUGUCAAUUUCGUAACGACCGAUGCUUUAGUUAUACAAAUUCUUCAAAGGAAUUCGAUGACAGUGCUGCUUGUGAAACUCCAAUUCAUGUUAAUACCAAGGCAAGAAAAUCCCGGGUGACAAUCUCGAAGAGGACACUCAAAAGAUGAGUAUGCUUAAGUUUUGUUGAUUGGUCUUAAUGUUAAAUUAAAUUUUACUCUAUUGGUGCAAAGUCUAUUAUCUAUAAUAAAAUGUUCUUCAGUUGUUUCACUAAUUUCCUCAAUAAUACAAAUAGUUGAUUUGAUUUCUUCUUGGUAUUUUUACACUAUGUCGGGCUCGACUCUUCAAUUCUAAAAGAUAAAUUUUUAUGCCUUCUUUAAUGUUUGUCAUUGAUUUGCUUUCUUUCCAGGCUAAUGUUAUUCAAAGAGAACCAAAUUGCUUUCCUUCAGAGAAUAGAUUGAAUGUUGAUGGUGUCAAUGAUUGCUCUCACCUUAUUGCGGAGAUGAUUGGACUGGGAAGUGAUUCAAAGUUUUUUCAAGCCGGUAAAGAAUUUCACUCUUAGAUAUAUUAUCUUUCUCUUCUGACUAACAGGUGCGCACCAUACUAGAUAUUAAUUGUUGAUUUGGUAGCUUUGGUGCCCGCUUACUCUCACUAAAAUUGAUGUCUUUUUGUGUGGCAACAUAUGAGCCAUCUUGAGAGAGGACUUUCAGCUAUCAUUGGCAGUUUUAUUUUGAAACAGCCUCCACUUCCAUCAUUGUCUUAUGACAUGGUUCACUGUGCUAAAUGUGGAAUCAUUUUGGAUAGAAAAGGUAUUGCUACAGUUGUGCUUUGAGGAAGUAUGGUUGCACUCUAUGUUCUCUAUACGUGGCUUGGGUCAUAUGGUGAAAUUAACACACUUCAAGGGUGAAUUGCAUGUCACUACUGAAGACAAGGACUUGGAGCAACAGGAUGAAGAUUCAACUACCAAUAAGAUAAUUGCUUCAUGAAAUUUGCGGCUUCAGUUGGAUAAAACAUUUGCUAUUUGUUUCGCUUCUCGGUAAUAGUGUUGGAAAGUGAAUUAUAGAUGAUGACUUAAAUAUUUGAUCUCUCCAAUGAAUUCUUCUAAGUUUCAUAGAGGUUUACUUUUGUCAUGGAUCAUGUCAAUCACUCAUCUAUUGCUACAUUUAGGUUGAGAUUCCUUCGGAAACAAUCUCUCUACCUCCACAAGUCCUCCUACAUUUGAACUAUCUUUUGGGGUGUGAGUUAGGCCUAAAGUGUAAUUUAACAUGGCAUCAGUUUCGGACUUCCAUGCGGAUAUGUGAAAUACUCCCGGUCUAACUGUGCAUGCUCUGCAAAAUAGUGAAUCCUUGGAACCAUGGAUAAAGCACAUCUUGAUCUAGGCGUGAGGGGGUGAUGAAUAGAAUGAUCCCACAUCGUACCAGGAAUGGAGGCCAUAAAGAAGCAUCUUCCUGUCUCUAGGCAAGAAAGAGAAGAAGAGCUUAAAAAAAUUAUUGUGAGAUUCGAGGAAGAGAUUUAUACUGCUGCUACAAGUCAUAUAUGUAGUCAUGUCUCUGGCGUUUUCAUUGCUACAAGAUUUUAGAAUCAUUCAUUGCACAAGAAUGAGUUGGAUUUUGCUCAUGGUGUUAAGACAGAUGAAGUGUUAGGGUGGGUUAUGAACUUUUUUUCCGAACUAUGGAUAAGAAAAGUUGUAAUUAAUAAACUACAAUACUUUAAACUGUGAAUAUAAGAGAAUGGUAUGACUACUGCACGUUUGAGCUUUAUUGUUAUGGAUAAGUUGUAAUGGACUGUGAUACUGUUGACUCAGUUAUAAUUCUUUUACACACUUUCUA